rnacentral:rRNA from 1 species
CAAUAGCGUAUACUAACGUUGUUGCAGUUAAAAAACUCGUAGUUGGAUUUCUGAAGGUGGUUGGAUUGGUGUGACCUCGCGUUGUCUCAACCAUACUAUUUUCAACAUAUGCGAUGAAUUGGUGUGGUUAAUUAAGUUUGAUCCGCCAUUAAAUCGCUCGUUUACUUUGAGAAAAUUAGAGUGUUCAAAGCAGGCAUAACGCCUUGAAUAUGUUAGCAUGGAAUAAUAGCAUAGGACUUUGGUUCUAUUUGUUGGUUGUUCGAGAACUGGAGUAAUGAUUGAUAGGGACGGUUGGGGGCAUCCGUAUUCUCAAGCGAGAGGUGAAAUUCUUGGACCUUGGGAAGACGAACAGCUGCGAAAGCGUUUGCCUAGGACGUUCUCUUUAA